GAUGCGCAGAAGGAUGUGUGGCAUGGGAGAGUUUGGGCCACCAUUCAGCAGGUGGGGACGCCAUCCCUUGGUCCAGGUCUGAUGGGGAGAUGCACAGAAGGAUGUGUGGCACGGGAGAGUCUGGGCCACCAUUCAGCAGGUGGGGACGCCAUCCCUUGGUCCAGGUCUGAUGGGGAGAUGCACAGAAGGAUGUGUGUGCUUGGCACAGCAGAGGGUAACACUCCCGAGUCCACUCAUAACAUGCCAGGUGGGGACGCCAUCCCUUGGUCCAGG
ensembl:lncRNA